UACGGAGGAUCCAAGCGUUGUCCGGAUUUAUUGGGUUUAAAGGGUGCGUAGGUGGUUUAUUAAGUCAGUGGUGAAAGUUUGCGGCUUAACCGUAAAAUUGCCAUUGAAACUGAUAGACUUGAGUAUGGUUGAGGUAGCUGGAAUGUGUCAUGUAGCGGUGAAAUGCUUAGAUAUGAUACAGAACACCGAUUGCGAAGGCAGGUUACUAAACCAUAACUGACACUGAGGCACGAAAGCAUGGGGAUCAAACAGGAUUAGAUACCCGGGUAGU
rnacentral:rRNA from 1 species